rnacentral:rRNA from 1 species
AGAGUUUGAUCCUGGCUCAGGAUGAACGCUGGCGGCGUGCCUAACACAUGCAAGUCGAACGAAGCUUGACGGAUGAUUUCUUCGGAAUGAAACCAGAUAUGACUUAGUGGCGGACGGGUGAGUAACACGUGAGCAACCUGCCUUUCAGAGGGGGAUAACGGCUGGAAACGGUCGCUAAUACCGCAUGAUGUGUUCGGAUGGCAUCAUCUGAACAUCAAAGAUUUAUCGCUGAAAGAUGGGCUCGCGUCUGAUUAGAUAGUUGGUGGGGUAACGGCCUACCAAGUCUACGAUCAGUAGCCGGACUGAGAGGUUGAACGGCCACAUUGGGACUGAGAUACGGCCCAGACUCCUACGGGAGGCAGCAGUGGGGAAUAUUGCACAAUGGGGGAAACCCUGAUGCAGCAACGCCGCGUGAAGGAUGACGGUUUUCGGAUUGUAAACUUCUUUUCUUAGUGACGAAGACAGUGACGGUAGCUAAGGAAUAAGCAUCGGCUAACUACGUGCCAGCAGCCGCGGUAAUACGUAGGAUGCAAGCGUUAUCCGGAUUUACUGGGUGUAAAGGGAGCGCAGGCGGGACUGCAAGUUGGAUGUGAAAUACCGUGGCUUAACCACGGAACUGCAUCCAAAACUGUAGUUCUUGAGUGAAGUAGAGGCAAGCGGAAUUCCGAGUGUAGCGGUGAAAUGCGUAGAUAUUCGGAGGAACACCAGUGGCGAAGGCGGCUUGCUGGGCUUUAACUGACGCUGAGGCUCGAAAGUGUGGGGAGCAAACAGGAUUAGAUACCCUGGUAGUCCACACCGUAAACG